rnacentral:rRNA from 1 species
UGGGGAAUUUUGGACAAUGGGCGAAAGCCUGAUCCAGCAAUGCCGCGUGUGUGAAGAAGGCCUUCGGGUUGUAAAGCACUUUUGUCCGGAAAGAAAUCCUUGGCUCUAAUACAGUCGGGGGAUGACGGUACCGGAAGAAUAAGCACCGGCUAACUACGUGCCAGCAGCCGCGGUAAUACGUAGGGUGCAAGCGUUAAUCGGAAUUACUGGGCGUAAAGCGUGCGCAGGCGGUUUGCUAAGACCGAUGUGAAAUCCCCGGGCUCAACCUGGGAACUGCAUUGGUGACUGGCAGGCUAGAGUAUGGCAGAGGGGGGUAGAAUUCCACGUGUAGCAGUGAAAUGCGUAGAGAUGUGGAGGAAUACCGAUGGCGAAGGCAGCCCCCUGGGCCAAAUACUGACGCUCAUGCACGAAAAGCGUGGGGAGCAAACAGGAUUAGAUACCCUGGUAGUCCACGCCCUAAAACGAUGUCAACUAGUUGUUGGGGAUUCAUUUCCUUAGUAACGUAGCUAACGCGUGAAGUUGACCGCCUGGGGAGUACGUCGCAAGAUUAAAACUCAAAUGAAUUG